CCUGCACCUUCACACCUUCACACCUGCACCUGACCGCUGCAAUCACCAACUGUAUUUAAGCCCUGCUGGGAGGCUUCUCCAGUGCCAGAUUAGUCCCACAUCUGAAUGUGCCUCCACGAGCCCCCAGUGCUUCUUCCCUAUCACUGCCACACUGCCUCACUCUCUACCAGGAUUUAUUCACCAAGCCUUGGACCCUGGAUCCCUUCCCUGCUCCCUUUUGUUCCAUACAAUAAAUUCACUGAACUGC